rnacentral:rRNA from 1 species
AUUGAACGCUGGCGGCGUGCUUAACACAUGCAAGUCGUGCGGUAACAGGCGUAGCAAUACGUGCUGACGAGCGGCGAACGGGUGCGUAAUACAUGGGAAUCUGCCUUUUAGUGGGGAAUAACCCGGCGAAAGCCGGGCUAAUGCCGCAUAAGAUCUUCGGAUGAAAGCGGGGGAGUCGUAAGACCUCGCGCUGAUAGAUGAGCCCACUGCCGGAUUAGCUAGUGGUGGAGGUAACGGGCUCACCAAGGCGACGAUCCGUAGCUGGUCUGAGAGGACGGCCAGCCACACUGGGACUGAGACACGGCCCAGACUCCUACGGGAGGCAGCAGUGGGGAAUAUUGGACAAUGGGGGAAACCCGUGAUCCAGCGACGCCGCGUGUGUGAAGAAGGCUGC